GAUGAACGCUGGCGGCGUGCCUAACACAUGCAAGUCGAGCGAACGGACGAGAAGCUCGCUUUUCUGAUGUUAGCGGCGGACGGGUGAGUAACACGUGGAUAACCUACCUAUAAGACUGGGAUAACUUCGGGAAACCGGAUCUAAUACCGGAUAAUAUUUUGAACCGCAUGGUUCAAAAGUGAAAGACGGUCUUGCUGUCACUUAUAGAUGGUUCCGCGCUGCAUUAGCUAGUUGGUAAGGUAACGGCUUACCAAGGCGACGAUGCAUAGCCGACCUGAGAGGGUGAUCAGCCACACUGGAACUGAGACACGGUCCAGACUCCUACGGGAGGCAGCAGUAGGGAAUCUUGCGCAAUGGGCGAAAGCCUGACGGAGCAACGCCGCGUGAGUGAUGAAGGUCUUCGGAUCGUAAAACUCUGUUAUUAGGGAAGAACAUAUGUGUAAGUAACUGUGCACAUCUUGACGGUACCUAAACAGAAAGCCACGGCUAACUACGUG
rnacentral:rRNA from 1 species